UGCGAAGCUCUUGGCUGACAGUGGUGCCUGCUAAUUUCCACUGCAAGGAUUUCGUCAACGAAUGUUAUCAUAGGUUACGCGCGACUCCAGAGGCAAUUUGGAAUAUCGGCACGAAAUCGUCGGAUGAAAAUCUGAGGUGCCCGACGCACAACAUUUUGAACGUGCCACGGAGGAUCAAGGCAAAAAACGAGAGCAAAAAAGGUGCACGCUGAAGGCGGAAAUGAAGCAUGAUCUGGCUUGCAUCUGGUGCAUGAAGAAAUUGCUGGCACGUUAGUUGCAGUCUACCUCCACCAACAGGGUGGAAAACAAAGGUCGCCAUUCCGAUUAGCUGCUAUCUCCC